GGCUCAGGAUGAACGCUGGCGGCGUGCCUAACACAUGCAAGUCGAACGAAGAGGUCCCUUCGGGGAUACUUCAGUGGCGGACGGGUGAGUAACACGUAGGUGACCUACCCCGAAGUGUGGAAUAACAGUCCGAAAGGAUUGCUAAUACCGCAUGUGGUCUGUGAGGUUAGAGUCUUGCAGACUAAAGCAGUAAUGUGCUUCGGGAGGGGCCUGCGCCCCAUCAGCUAGUUGGUAGGGUAAUGGCCUACCAAGGCUACAACGGGUAGGGGGCCUGAGAGGGUGACCCCCCACAUUGGCACUGACACACGGGCCAAACUCCUACGGGAGGCAGCAGUGAGGAAUAUUGCUCAAUGGGCGAAAGCCUGAAGCAGCAACGCCGCGUGCGCGAUGAAGGCCUUCGGGUCGUAAAGCGCUUUUGAGAGGGACGAGAUAGGACGGUACCUUUCGAAUAAGUCACGGCUAACUACGUGCCAGCAGCCGCGGUAAAACGUAGGUGGCAAGCGUUAUCCGGAUUCACUGGGCGUAAAGCGCGUGCAGGUGGCUUCGUAAGUUGGACGUUAAAUCUCCCGGCCUAACCGGGAGGGGUCGUUCAAUACUGCGGGGCUGGAGGGCAGAAGAGGGGGGUGGAAUUGCUGGUGUAGUGGUGAAAUGCGUAGAUAUCAGCAGGAACACCUGUGGCGAAAGCGGCCCCCUGGUCUGCUCCUGACACUCAGACGCGAAAGCUAGGGGAGUGAACGGGAUUAGAAACCCCGGUAAUCCUAGCCGUAAACGAUGGAUGCUAGGUGUGGGAGGUAUUGACCCCAUCCGUGCCGAAGCCAACGCGUUAAGCAUCCCGCCUGGGGACUACGGCCCGCAGGUUAAAACU
rnacentral:rRNA from 1 species